UACCAGCACCCCGAGUGGUCGGGACGAUUAUUGGGCCUAAAGCAUCCGUAGCCGGUUUUACAAGUCCUCCGUUAAAUCCAGCUGCUUAACAGAUGGGCUGCGGAGGAUACUAUAAGACUAGGAGGCAGGAGAGGCAAGCGGUACUCAGUGGGUAGGGGCAAAAUCCGUUGAUCCAUUGAAGACCACCAGUGGCGAAGGCGGCUUGCCAGAAUGCGCUCGACGGUGAGGGAUGAAAGCUGGGGGAGCAAACCGG
rnacentral:rRNA from 1 species